CACGGAGAGGAGACCAUGUGAAGACACAGUCAGGAUGAGACCAGCUACAGACCACAGAGGGAGGCCUUGGAAGAAGUCAAUCCUGCCGACACAUUGAUCCAGGACUUCUUGCCUCCAGAGCGUGUCGUAACCAGACUGCAGCUGACCCAGUACGCUACCAUCCCUUGGAACUCCACGACUGCAGUGAGCUCCUGCCGACUUCCGGGUUUCUGACUGCUGGACGCUGCAUCUACCAAGCGAUGGGGGGAAACAGAUGAAGCACCCACUCCUGAAUCCCCAGCCAAUGCCUGAAUGAAUUAUGGGAAUAAUCAGCUAGAAGAGCAUGUCUUUCUUCUGUGGUUGCAAUAACAAGAAGUAGGAGGGGGAGAAGGAAAAGGAGAAAGAGGAAGAAGGAGAGGAGGAGGAAGAAGAGGAGGAGAAGAAAAAGUGCCACUGCCAACCUAGUGAAUCCGAUAAAAGAGAAACUUCUGAUAGAUUGACAUGAAAGAAAGCUGUCAUUUAGGAUCAAUAUCCUAAGUGUUUAUUUAAAUGCUUUAUGGAUGAGCUGUUGAGUCUUCUGCUCUUCUGGUGAAAGAAUUAAAAUCUAGCAAUG
rnacentral:lncRNA from 1 species